GCCCCCGUGGCGGAACCGGUAGACGCGGCGGAUUCAAAAUCCGCUUGCCAUUCGGCAGUGCCCGUUCGAGUCGGGCCGGGGGCACCA
rnacentral:tRNA from 1 species